rnacentral:rRNA from 1 species
AGAGUUUGAUCCUGGCUCAGAUUGAACGCUGGCGGCAUGCCUUACACAUGCAAGUCGAACGGCAGCACGAGAGCUUGCUCUUGGUGGCGAGUGGCGAACGGGUGAGUAAUAUAUCGGAACGUACCCUAGAGUGGGGGAUAACGUAGCGAAAGUUACGCUAAUACCGCAUACGAUCUACGGAUGAAAGUGGGGGAUCGCAAGACCUCAUGCUCAUGGAGCGGCCGAUAUCUGAUUAGCUAGUUGGUGGGGCAAAAGCUCACCAAGGCGACGAUCAGUAGCUGGUCUGAGAGGACGACCAGCUACACUGGAACUGAGACACGGUCCAGACUCCUACGGGAGGCAGCAGUGGGGAAUUUUGGACAAUGGGCGCAAGCCUGAUCCAGCAAUGCCGCGUGAGUGAAGAAGGCCUUCGGGUUGUAAAGCUCUUUUGUCAGGGAAGAAACGGUGGACUCUAAUACAGAUCACUAAUGACGGUACCUGAAGAAUAAGCACCGGCUAACUACGUGCCAGCAGCCGCGGUAAUACGUAGGGUGCAAGCGUUAAUCGGAAUUACUGGGCGUAAAGCGUGCGCAGGCGGUUGUGCAAGACAGAUGUGAAAUCCCCGGGCUCAACCUGGGAAUUGCAUUUGUGACUGCACGGCUAGAGUGUGUCAGAGGGGGGUAGAAUUCCACGUGUAGCAGUGAAAUGCGUAGAGAUGUGGAGGAAUACCGAUGGCGAAGGCAGCCCCCUGGGAUAACACUGACGCUCAUGCACGAAAGCGUGGGGAGCAAACAGGAUUAGAUACCCUGGUAGUCCACGCCCUAAACGAUGUCUACUAGUUGUCGGGUCUUAAUUGACUUGGUAACGCAGCUAACGCGUGAAGUAGACCGCCUGGGGAGUACGGUCGCAAGAUUAAAACUCAAAGGAAUUGACGGGGACCCGCACAAGCGGUGGAUGAUGUGGAUUAAUUCGAUGCAACGCGAAAAACCUUACCUACCCUUGACAUGUCUGGAAUCCUUGAGAGAUCAGGGAGUGCUCGAAAGAGAAUCAGAACACAGGUGCUGCAUGGCUGUCGUCAGCUCGUGUCGUGAGAUGUUGGGUUAAGUCCCGCAACGAGCGCAACCCUUGUCAUUAGUUGCUACGAAAGGGCACUCUAAUGAGACUGCCGGUGACAAACCGGAGGAAGGUGGGGAUGACGUCAAGUCCUCAUGGCCCUUAUGGGUAGGGCUUCACACGUCAUACAAUGGUACAUACAGAGGGCCGCCAACCCGCGAGGGGGAGCUAAUCCCAGAAAGUGUAUCGUAGUCCGGAUUGUAGUCUGCAACUCGACUACAUGAAGUUGGAAUCGCUAGUAAUCGCGGAUCAGCAUGUCGCGGUGAAUACGUUCCCGGGUCUUGUACACACCGCCCGUCACACCAUGGGAGCGGGUUUCACCAGAAGUGGGUAGCCUAACCGCAAGGAGGGCGCUCACCACGGUGGGAUUCGUGACUGGGGUGAAGUCGUAACAAGGUA